GACUUCCCUCAAAGGCUGUAACAACCCGGCUGCCGCGGAUUUCGCUGCUGCCCUCCCAGUGUGGGUGACAUGUCUUUAUAAGCGUUGUUCUGCAGCUUCCUGCUGCCUGCUGAGCUCUAAGGGUGUCCCGCCUCCUCGCAGACACUCCUUCCUCACCUCGGGGCGAAUAUUGGCCACUAACUGCUCUUGUGCCGCCGAAGGUCUCGGCCAUCCUCCCACUCCCUGCCUUCUUCCGGGGCAAGCCAGUUGUCAUUUCUGGCCCGCCACUUUCCCGACCCCUGCCAUCCCUCAGAUCCACUCUGCCCAAAGAUGCCUCUGGCCAUAUUGAAAGCAGUGUUUUUCAGAAACGUUUUAAAACUAUAAAGAAUGACUAGUCACAUCAAAAUCCUCAAAAUGUAGGAACCAACUACAUUUUUUCUUCCCACCUGUACCCAUUCGUUUACCCUACUCUUCUGCCCCACCCCCCACCAAUAACUCCCUGAUAACAAAGCGCACCCUGUUUACUUCUACCUCUCAGCCUUAACUCAUACUGUCAUUUCCAUCUUUAAGCUCCUUGCCUCAGCCCCUAUGAUUGGGGCCCAGGUCAAAUCUGCCUACUCCACAGGGCAUUCCCAGAUACCUUAAUCAAAAUUAAUGUCUCCUGAUCUCCCAAUGUACAAAGCACUUUGUACCUGUUAAUCAUUUUCAUCGUAGCCUGCCAGGUUUUAUCCAAUUUGUGUGUUUCUCUUUUCCUACUAAAUUAUUCCACUCAGCUCACACAUUUAUUCAGCACCUACUAUGAUGGGCCAGGCAAGGUGUAAGAGACUGAGGAAACACAUGACUAAGAAAAUUGCUAAAGAUGAAGAGCAGCAUGUGGUUUAUGUAAGAAACAUAUCUGAAAAAUAUAGGCUCAGCAGGCCUUUAGGGUUAUGAACAGUGCUUUAUGUGUCAUAGAUGCUCAAUAUCUAAAUUGAGUGGGAUGCUAGGAUAGUCAUUCAUCUGGAAUAUUAUAAAAAUACAAACAACUCCUAUGUACAUAGACUAUUAAAGCCAGAAGUCAAAAAAAAAGUAACUACUUUUUAAUUAAAUUCACCUUGGAUACAUUAUUUCCAAUCCUCACUACAACCCUGCAAAGUAAGUAUUAUCUCUAAUUUGCAGAUAAAGUGGGCUCAGCAAAAUUCAAUAAUUUAUCUAGGACCACACAACUAGCUUUCAAUCCAGUUAUUGAACUAAAACACACAUAUGGAAAACUAAGCCAUUACAAUUCAGUGUGAUUAGUUUGGAAUACUGAAGGCAGGCUAGAUAUGCCUAGAAAUGGACCAUAGCCUAUAUACAUUUGAAAUACUAUUUGGAUUUUUUUCAUGCUUUCUUUUUUAAUACAUAGAUUCAGGUGGUUUAUGUGUAGGUUUAUUAUACAGAUAUAUUGUGUAGUGGUGAGGUCUGGGCUUCUAGUGUACCCAUCACCCAAACAGUGAACAUUGUACCCAAUAGUUAAUUUUUCAACCCUCACCCUUCCCCUCCCACUCUCCCCACUUUUGGAGUCCCCAGUGUCUAUUAUUCCCCUCUGUAUGUCCACGUGCACUCAGUCUUUAGCUUCCACUUAUAAGUGAGAACAUGGGGUGUUUGAUUUUCUGCUUCUGAGUUAUUUCACUUAGGAUAAUGGCCCCCAGCUCCAUCCAUGUUGCUGCAAAAGACAUGAUUUCAUUAUUUUUAUGGCUGCAUAGUAUUCCGUGGUGUAUGCAUAACCACAUUUUCUUUAACCAUCUGUUGGUGGACACUUAGGUUAAUGGUUGAUUCUAUGUCUUUGUCUUUUUGUCAUAACAAUUUCUUCUUUUUUUUUUCUUUUUCAGAGACAGGUUCUUGCUCUGUCACCCAGGCUGGAGUGCAGUGGCGUAAUCAUAGCUCACCACAGCCUUGAAUUCUUGGGCUUAAGCAAUCCUACCACCUCAGUCUCUCGAGUAGCUAGAACUACUGGCAUGCACCAUCAUGUCUGGUUAACUUUUUAAUUUUUUGUAGAGAUGGAGGUUUUUUGCUAUAUUGCUCAGGCUGGUCUCAAACUCCUGGCAUCAAGUGAUCCUCCUGCCUCAGCCUCCCAAAGCUCUAGGAUUACAAGCAUGAGCCACCACACCCAGUCACAAUUUGUUUUCCUUUGGGUAGCCAGUAGUGAGAUUGCUGGGUCAAAUGGUAGUUCUAUUUUUAGUUCUUUGAGAAAUCUCCAUACUAGUUUCCACAGAGGUUGUACUAAUUUACAUUCCCACCAACAGUGUAUAGGCAAUCUCUUUUUUCUGAAUUCUCAUCAAUAUCGGGUUGUUUUUUGACUUUUUAAUAAUAGUCAUUCUGACUGGUGCAAGAUGGUAUCUCACCGUGGUUUUAAUCUGCAUUUCUCUGAUGAUUAGUGAUGUUGAGAAGUUUAUCAUGUUUAUUAGCCACUUGUAUGUCUUCUUUUGAGAAAUGUCUAUUCCUGUCUUUUGCCCACUUUUGAAUAGGGUUAUUUAGUUUUUUCUGGUUGAGUUCCUUGUAGAUUCUGGAUAUUAGUCCUUUGUUGGAUGCACAGUUUGUAAAUAUGUUCUUCCAUUCUGUAGGUUAUUUGAUUCUUUAUCUUACUAUGCAGAAGCUUUUUAGCUUAAUGAAACUCAUUUGUCUGUUUUUGUUUUUGUUGCAUUUGCUUUUGAGGACUUGCUCAUAAAUUAUUUGCCUAGGUCAAUCUCCACAAGAGUUUUUCCUAGGUUUUCUUCUAGGGUUUUUAUUGUUUCAGGUCUUAAAUUUAACUCUAAUUCAUCUUGAGUUAAUUUUGGUAUAUGGUGAAAGAAAGGGGUGCAGUUUCAUUCCUCUGCAUGUCUAUCCACUUUGUGUAGCACCAUUUAUUAAAUAGAGUGUCUUUUCCCAUUAUAUGUUUUUGUUGUCAUUGUCUAAGAUCAGUUGGUUGUAGGUAUGUGGCUUUAUUUCUGGAUACUAUUUGCAAUACCCUUCAGCUACAGGAAUAAGUAAAAACGUACAAACCAAAAGCUGCAACAUUUCCUUACUAAAUUAGC
rnacentral:lncRNA from 1 species